rnacentral:rRNA from 1 species
CUUGACCUCGAAUCAGGUAGGGAUACCCGCUGAACUUAAGCAUAUCAA